GAUGAACGCUGGCGGCGUGCUUAACACAUGCAAGUCGAACGGAAAGGCCACAGCUUGCUGUGGUACUCGAGUGGCGAACGGGUGAGUAACACGUGGGUGAUCUGCCCUGUACUUCGGGAUAAGCUUGGGAAACUGGGUCUAAUACCGGAUAGGAAUCACAUGUGGGUGUGUGGUUGGAAAGCUUUUGCGGUAUGGGAUGAGCUCGCGGCCUAUCAGCUUGUUGGUGGGGUAAUGGCCUACCAAGGCGUCGACGGGUAGCCGGUCUGAGAGGGUGUACGGCCACAUUGGGACUGAGAUACGGCCCAGACUCCUACGGGAGGCAGCAGUGGGGAAUAUUGCACAAUGGGCGCAAGCCUGAUGCAGCGACGCCGCGUGGGGGAUGACGGCCUUCGGGUUGUAAACUCCUUUCGUCAGGGACGAAGCGAAAGUGACGGUACCUGGAUAAGAAGCACCGGCUAACUACGUG
rnacentral:rRNA from 1 species